GAAGGACUACGCGACGAAAUCGACUGACGCGCGGUUCGGCU
rnacentral:precursor_RNA from 1 species